CGAAAGCCUGACGGAGCAAGACCGCGUGAGGGAGGAAGGCUCUUGGGUUGUAAACCUCUUUUCUCAGGGAAGAAGCUCUGACGGUACCUGAGGAAUCAGCCUCGGCUAACUCCGUGCCAGCAGCCGCGGUAAUACGGAGGAGGCAAGCGUUAUCCGGAAUUAUUGGGCGUAAAGCGUCUGUAGGUGGUUUAGUCAGUCUACUGUUAAAGAGUACAGCUUAACUGUAUAUACGCAGUGGAAACUACUAGGCUUGAGUGUGGUAGGGGCAGAGGGAAUUCCCGGUGUAGCGGUGAAAUGCGUAGAUAUCGGGAAGAACACCAACGGCGAAAGCACUCUGCUGGGCCAACACUGACACUGAGAGACGAAAGCUAGGGUAGCC
rnacentral:rRNA from 1 species